rnacentral:tRNA from 1 species
AAAGCGUCCUUAGUUCAGUUGGUAGAACGUAGGUUUCCAAAACCUAAUGUCGAGGGUUCAAGUCCUUCAGGAC